UCGAUGAAGAACCUCCCUUCAGAGUCAGUCCUGAGUUUGGGCUGGCCAGUGAACAUCUCUGCCAGCUUGGAGCCAGGGUGUUUCUUCAAGUACUCAGCAGAUGAAAAGAAAAGGGAUGAAAGAAAGAAGACAGUUCCUUUCCUCCUGCCAGCAGUACUGUAAUGCAAGUCACAAGCCAAGCCAGGGCCACACCUGCCAUUGGGAAGGCUGAGCUGGAUUGGCUGGAUUGGCUGACAGAGGAUUUAACAAGCACAGAGCUGACAAAAGGAUGGGACUAGGAACAGACAGCCUGGUGCAAUGGGAGACCUUCCCUUUAAACAGGAGCAAACAAUCAGAUUUAGCAGAAACUUGCUCACACCCUAAGCAAGCCAGGGAAGCAACACGAGAUUCAGGCCAAAGACCCCGCUGGAAUACUGCUUUGCACUAGUGUGGGUAUUUUCAACUCAAGAGCAAUCAUUUACGCUUGGGUCAAGAUGACAAGCACUAUUCUGUCUGAGACUAUCUUGUGAUUUCCACCUACUGAAAUACAGCCCAAAGCUGUU